AUGAACCCCCUCAUCAGCAAGCUCGCGACACUGAUGGGCGACGAGUACACUAAGCUCACAGGGGUGAGGAGACAAGCCUCGUUCCUCAAGGAUGAGCUAAGCACCAUAAAAGCCCUGCUUGAGAAGCUUGAGCUCAUGGACGAGCUCGACCCCUUGGCCAAAAACUGGAGAGAUCAUGUCAGGGAGAUGUCCUAUGACAUGGAGAAUUGCAUAGAUGACUUCAUGCGCGACCUUGAAGGCACUGAUGCCAAAAAGGGAUUUAUCAAGAAGACCGCUAAAUGUCUCAAGAUGUUGCGGAAGCGUCAUCAAAUUGCUCAUGGAAUGGAGGAGCUCAAGGUUCUUGCUCUAGAGGCAAAUGAACGUCGCAUGCGGUACAAGAUUGAUGAUUGUGUCUAUUCUACUUCUCGCAUCGUUCUGGUCAAUCCUCGGAUGUCAGCGAUCUACAAGGAGGCAGCAGGCCUUGUCGGUAUUGAUGGCCCAAAGAAAGAGCUUGUAAGUUGCUUGACAGGCACCCAGAAAAACCUCAAGGUGGUGGCUAUUGUUGAUUUGGGGGUCUUGGUAAAACUACACUUGCCAAACAAGUAUACAAUGAGAUCGGAGGACAAUUCAGUUGCAAGGCAUUCAUAUCCAUUUCCCAAAGACCUGAUAUGGCAAGCCUCUUUAGUGGUCUACAAUUGA
rnacentral:rRNA from 1 species